rnacentral:rRNA from 1 species
GCACAAGCAGCGGAGCGUGUGGUUUAAUUCGAUGUUACACGAAGAACCUUACCAGGGUUUGACAUGCAAGUGGUAGGAAGCCGAAAGGUGACCGACCCUUCGGGGAGCUUGCACAGGUGCUGCAUGGCUGUCGUCAGCUCGUGUCGUGAGAUGUUCGGUUAAGUCCGCUAACGAGCGCAACCCUCGCUGUGUGUUAUAUGUGUCACACGGGACUGCCGGUCUUAAGCCGGAGGAAGGUGAGGAUGAUGUCAAGUCAGCAUGACCUUUAUAUCCAGGGCUACACACACGCUACAAUGGUCUGUACAAUGGGUAGCCAAGCCGCGAGGCGGAGCCAAUCCUGAAAGCAGGCCUCAGUUCAGAUUGCAGUCUGCAACUCGACUGCAUGAAGCCGGAGUUGCUAGUAACCGCAGGUCAGCAAUACUGCGGUGAAUACGUUCCCGGGUCUU